GCCUUCUUAGAUAACUUAUAUCCUGCCCUCCAUUGAAUAUGAAGAAGAUCAUGAGUCGCUUGUUGGCACAUUUCCUUAGUGAUUGCAGCUAUUAGUAGAUCAUCCACACACUGGAGUAGUACACAUUUUCCUGGGAUGGAUUGGAAGUCUUGUAAAUCCUGACUUAAUGAGGAUCCAAAGAGGGUUUGAGAAUUUUUUUAAACCCUGUGGCAACCUGGUCCAUGUCAUCUGACGCUUUGAUCCUGUAAUAGCAUCUUCCCAUUAGAAAGCAAAGAUACACUGGCUUUCAG